rnacentral:rRNA from 1 species
GAUGAACGCUGGCGGCAGGCCUAACACAUGCAAGUCGAGCGGAUGAGUGGAGCUUGCUCCAUGAUUCAGCGGCGGACGGGUGAGUAAUGCCUAGGAAUCUGCCUGGUAGUGGGGGACAACGUUUCGAAAGGAACGCUAAUACCGCAUACGUCCUACGGGAGAAAGCAGGGGACCUUCGGGCCUUGCGCCAUUAGAUGAGCCUAGGUCGGAUUAGCUAGUUGGUGAGGUAAUGGCUCACCAAGGCGACGAUCCGUAACUGGUCUGAGAGGAUGAUCAGUCACACUGGAACUGAGACACGGUCCAGACUCCUACGGGAGGCAGCAGUGGGGAAUAUUGGACAAUGGGCGGAAAGACCUGAUCCAGCCAAUGCGCGUGUGUGAAGAAGGUCUUCGGA